rnacentral:rRNA from 1 species
CUCAGUAACACGUGGCCAAACUACCCUACAGACCGCAAUAACCUCGGGAAACUGAGGCCAAUAGCGGAUAUAACUCUCAGGCUGGAGUGCCGAGAGUUAGAAACGUUCCGGCGCUGUAGGAUGUGGCUGCGGCCGAUUAGGUAGAUGGUGGGGUAACGGCCCACCAUGCCGAUAAUCGGUACAGGUUGUGAGAGCAAGAGCCUGGAGACGGUAUCUGAGACAAGAUACCGGGCCCUACGGGGCGCAGCAGGCGCGAAACCUUUACACUGCACGACAGUGCGAUAGGGGGACUCCGAGUGUGAGGGCAUAUAGCCCUCGCUUUUCUGCACCGUAAGGUGGUGCAAGAAUAAGGACUGGGCAAGACCGGUGCCAGCCGCCGCGGUAAUACCGGCAGUCCAAGUGAUGGCCGAUAUUAUUGGGCCUAAAGCGUCCGUAGCUGGCUGUGUAAGUCCAUUGGGAAAUCGACCAGCUCAACUGGUCGACGUCCGGUGGAAACUACCCGGCUUGGGGGCCGAAAGACUCAACGGGGUACGUCCCGGGGUAGGAGUGAAAUCCUGUAAUCCUGGACGGACCACCCAAUGGGGGAAAACCACGUUGAAGAGACCGGACCCGACAGUGAGGGGACGAAAGCCAGGGUCUCGAAACCGGAAUUAGAUACCCCGGGUAGUCCUGGCUGUAAACAAUGCUCGCUAGGUAUGUCACGCGCCAUGGAGCACGUGAUGUGCCCGUAGUGAAAGACGAAUAAGCGAGCCCGCCUGGAA